rnacentral:rRNA from 1 species
CAGGUACAGCGGGAAGCCACCUGGUGACAGGGAGCGGAACCCGAAAGCCUGUCUCAGUUCGGAUUGGAGUCUGCAACUCGACUCCAUGAAGCUGGAUUCGCUAGUAAUCGCGCAUCAGCCAUGGCGCGGUGAAUACGUUCCCGGGCCUUGUACACACCGCCCGUCAAGCCAUGGGAGCCGGGGGUGCCUGAAGUACGUGACCGCGAGGAGCGUCCUAGGGCAAAACUGGUGACUGGGGCUAAGUCGUAACAAGGUACC